UGCAUGUCUUAGCACAAGCCGAAUAUGGUGAAGCCGCGAAUGGCUCAUUACAACAGCCUUUGUUUAUUUGAUCUUGAAAUCCUACUUGGAUAACUGUGGCAAUUCUAGAGCUAAUACACGCUACGAAACUCGAGACGCCCGUCGCGAGUGCAUUUAUUAGUACAAGACCAAUCGGGUUCGUCCCGUGUUGUGGUGAAUCUGAAUAACUGAGCCGAUCGCACGGCCUUUGCGCCGGCGACGUAUCUUUCAAGUGUCUGCCCUAUCAACUUUCGAUGGUAGUUUAUAUGACUACCAUGGUUAUAACGGGUAACGGAGAAUAAGGGUUCGACUCCGGAGAAGCAGCCUGAGAAACGGCUACUA
rnacentral:rRNA from 1 species